UGGAAUUCACUGAGAUUUGCAAAAAGUAAUGUUCAUUGGGCUAAACCCAAUUUGCCCUAAGAAAACAAAAUAACAAUAGGUAGCAGGCCAUCAUCUGUUUAGCCUACACAAAACAAAACAAAAAAGAGAAAAUAAAUGAAAUUUUAAAUUGCUUCCAGCCGAACAGUCAGUUGGUCCUCAUAAAUGAUUCUGACUUUUCCUCUGCCCAAGACCACUGAAACGUAAAAGCAUAUCUUCUCAAAUCUUUUCCUUGUCAAUUUGCUUUUCAGAACAGUGCUAUUUCCUACCAUUUCAAGCAUCGCCCCAUAUUACUGAAAGCUGAGGUCUUCCCAUUUUCUUUUACUCUGAAGAACCCAGAUGAUUUGGCUCUGAUUCUCUUCUAGAUGAUCUUAAGGUCUCUCCCUCCAGGUACUGUUCCUCUCCCUUCUUAAGUGUUUCUUUUGCUAGACGAUGGGCUUCUGUGUUUUCUAACCUCGGGAUAAAAUAGAAUCUGAUUUCUUGAUACUGAUCCUUUAAGCUUUGAAUAUCACUGAUUAUUGCCCCUAUUUCUGAUAUGUCUCGACUUGUAUUUUGGCAUUUUGUAAUCACUGUUCUUGAGUCUCCGGUUAUAUCUAAAGUAUGAUAGCCCAACUGAAUCCCUAACCUUAUUGCUUGUAAACCUGCAAAUGCUUCUGCCGCGAAUGGAGAUGCAAUAUUUUCAUGAAGGGUCGACUUUACUGCAACGAUCCUACCUUCCUCAUUUCUAACAACUAGGCCUGACGCAGAUCUGGAAUUCUGUAAGUCGAAAGCCACAUAAAAAAAAAAGAUGGCCUUUUUCGCCCUUUGUAAACUUUGUCUAUGCCUCACACUAGUUUCCACGUUGAGUUCCUUAUCUCUACUCCCUUCCAGUUCCAGAAUAUAGCUUUUUAUUUGUUUGGAGAUAUCUCUGCUAGUGCUUGAUCUGUUUUCAUAUAAUAAUUUAUUUCUGUUUGUCCAGAUUAACCAGAGCCCGCAACAGAAAUCCCUGCACUGUUCGUUUGUCCCUUGGCUGAAAACCCAAGUAAGCCAACUCCAGAUAUCCAAAUGACUAUUGUUGAGUAUCCAUGAAAAAUUUAAGUGACUCCAUAUUUCCUUUGCUGUAGGGCACAGAUGGAAAACAUGGAAACUAUCUUCUCCUUCCUGACCGCAUCUCGAACAUCGAUCCUCAGCCAUCACUUUUCGCAGCUCUAGAUUGGAGAAAAUGGGAAUGUAAUUCCACGCUAUUUUUCAUACUGUAAUCUUGAUUUUUAAGGGCAUAUGUAAAUUCCAUAGUUUUCUGUAGAAAUUUUUAGUAUCGGUCUGUAAAUAAACACUAGGAUCAAUUGUAGCUUUCUGUAAUAGUAUAUAGGCACUCCUUACUGAAAAGUCACCAGUUGCCUCCCCUCUCCAUACUUGGAUGUCUUUAUGGAUUAACUUUGAAAGCGGAAUCUGUAGUAUUUUCCUAGUGAUAUCCGAGUUAAAGGUACGGACAAUCAAGUGUCUAUUCCAUGUUCUGCUUUCCUCAUUGAUUAAGUCAAACACUACUCUAAUAUUUUUAAUGUUGCUGUUAUUCUGUAUUCUGUCUACAGUCAUUCUCGGCACCCAUAGAUCAUUCCAUACUGAAAUGUGGUCUCAUUUACCAACUCUUUAGCAUAAUCCAUCUGUGAGGAGUUUUUUUGUUGACCAAAUACUCCUCCAGGUAAGUGAAGGUAAGUUACUCAAAAAAGCAUUUAAGAAGUUUGUUGUUGAAAAAUAUUUCACUUUUAAAACUUGGGCUAAUAAAGAACUCGGAUAAUUAAAAAGACGCCAACCCUGUUUUGCCAGCAAAGCUAUGUUAAAUUUAUCAAGACUUCUAAAACCUAACCCACCCAAUUCUUUUUCAAUGCAAAUAUCCUCCCAAGCACACUAAUGGAUCUCUCUUUUUUCCCCUUAUUUUUCUGCCACCAAAAUUUUGCAAUAAUACCAUCUAAUUCCUUGAAAAAAGAUUUAGGGAGUAAAAAACACGUCAUUGAGUAGGUUGGUAUAGAUUGUAAAACAGCUUUGAUGAAAACCUCUUUACCUCCUUGUGAGAGAUAUCUGAUACUCCAAUUGUCAAUUCGUUGCUUGAAUCUAUCCUUCAGCAUCUGGAACGCUGCCUUAUUCCUUCUACCCACCAGGCUAGGUAGCCCUAAAUAUCUUUCCAUAUCAUCUGAACUUCGUACCCCAAUAACUCGAAUAAUUGUUCUUCUUUCUCCUUCCUAAGUAUUGCUGCUGAAAAAAAUUGUGGAUUUUGAAAAGUUAACUUUCUGACCCGAGCAAAUUUCAUAUUCACGGAUGACCUGUUUUAAAAAAAAUUAAACCCCUCUCAGUAGCUUCCCCAAACAGUAUGCAAUCAUUCGCAAAAAGUAAAUGUGAAACAUGCGGCCCGCUUCUGCUUGUUUUGACACCUCUUAUUUUGUUCUCCUGCAUACCUAAUUUCAUAAGGCUAGAGAGACCUUCUCCAUAGAACAAGAAUAAGAACAGACUCAACGGGUCCUCUUGUCGUAAUCCUCUUGAAGGAUAAAAGAAGUCUCCAUUAUGUCCAUUAAGGACCACUGAAUAUGAAACUCUAUUAACGCAUCUUAAUAGUUGGGUCACCAACUCUGAAUCAAAACCCAUUUUCUUUAUUAUUUCCUCCACAAAAUUUCAUUCCACCCUAUCAUAUGCCUUGCUCAUAUCCAACUUGACCGCCAUAAAACCCUUCUUCCCUGACCGCUUCUGUUUCAAUGUAUGGAUUAAUUCAUAAGCCAGCAACACGUUAUCUGAGAUCAAUCUCCCAGGCACGAAAGUGCUUUGUGCAGGAUCAAUGCAUUUGUCUAACACUUUCCGAAUGCGAUUAGCAAAAACUUUAGCCAUUAAUUUGAAGAUUACAUUACACAAACUAAUAGGCCUAAAGUGCGAUAUAUCUAUUGGAUUUGAAAUUUUCAGAAUUAAAACAAUAUUUGUUCUAUUGACUGGGCCUAUCUCCAUCUUUCCAUUCAGUUGAUCAAGACAAUAAGAAGUGACCUCCUCUCUGAUAAUUGCCCAACACUUCUGAUAGAAUAACGUUGGAAAUCCAUAUUCCCCUGGUGCCUUAGUGGGCCCUAAUUCUGCCAAAGCCUGCUGAAUUUCCUCCUUUGUAUAUCUCUCUUUUAACAUUAAAUUAUCUUCAUUUGAAAUACAUCGAUGAACUCCAGAUAAAACAUGCUCAUAAUUUGCAGAUAUGCCAGUGAAAAAUAACUGUUUGAAAUAUGAUCUAGCAAUCAUUUUCAUUUCUUUUCAUUCUUCCGUCUCCCUCCCAUCAUCGUUCUUCAUUUUGUGAAUCAGGUUCCUCUGUCGUUUCUGUGUAGCUUGUUUGUGGAAAAAGGCUGUAUUUUUAUCCCCAAAUUUUAACCAGUUAACCCUCGCUAUUUGUUCCCAAAAGCACUCAUCCUUUUCGAUCUCGAAGUUAAGUUGGAUCUUUGUAUCAAUCUGGUCGGCUAGAUUUUCUUCAUUUCUUUCUGCUUCUAGUAGUGAAGCCAAUUUUGAUGAUAACAACUUCUUCCUUUCUUUUCUAGAAAAUCGAAUUUGACUAGCCCAUCGCUCCAGCCCCCUUUUCAUACUGUCCAACUUGCUUAAAAACUCUCCUUCAGAAUGUCCCAUAUGUCUUUAACCGUAUUUUAAGAACGAGUCCUCCAGUACCCACCAUGCUUCAAAUUUGAAACAUUUUUGUAUUCUCUCUCUGCACCCCUUCUUUGUGUUAACCAGUAAUGGGCAAUGGUCAGAAAACGUAUAUGGAAGAUGUUGAAGCUAAAAAUCAGGAAAUAAAUGCAGCCAAUCUUCUGUCGCCACUCCUGUAUCUAACCGCUCUUGAAUAUUAUUUUCAGGUAAGUUCCCCCUUUCCCACGUAAACCAGUUUCCAAUAAACCCCAUAUCAGAUAAAUUAAAUUCCUCUAAAGUCUUACAAAAACCUUCCAUUCGUCCUUCCUCUCGCACUAAACCGCUUUUUUUUUCAAAACUAUACAGAAUUUCAUUAAAAUCUCCACAAAUCAUCCAUGGUAACUCCCUACCCAUACCUAACUGCCGUAAUAGGUUUCAUGUCUUAGCUCUAUCAUGUGAAUAUGGAGACCCAUAAAAACCUGUAAACCUCCGUUUGUAUCCUUCAUCCUCUUCAUCAAUGAUCACAUCAAUAUGCUGUUUUGAAAAACUCUGAAGCUGAAUAUUUUUAUACUCGCACCAAGCCAAACACAGCCCACCUCUAGAACCAUCUGAACUCACAUCAAUACCGUUUAAAAACCUACAACUCCUUCGAACUCUUUCCAUUUGAUUAUUACUUAUUUUUGUCUCCAUGAAGAAGACUACUUGGGGAUUAUAUAAGUUCAGUAUAUACCGAAAUCUCCGAAUUGUCCGUGGACUCCCCAAUCCACGGAUAUUCCAGCUUAGGAUUUUUAUUGCACUCGGUCGGCUUGCCACUUGGCAGCCACCGAUGAUUGAUGACUAACCUCUAUUGUUCUCCUACUCUUUGCCGCCAAAAUAUUUGUCUCCUCUUUGGUCAGAGCUGCUUCCAUCUCCCUUCUGUUUCUCUUCUUGCCCUCCUCACCAAUAAACACUUCAUCUUCAAGAUCAUGUUCCAUUGAGUUAUUCAUCAGAAUCCCACUCCAAUUCUCAUUUACUUCCCAUGUUUGAGAUCUACUUCCUACAAGGUUUAUCCUUAAUAUUGGUGUAACAGCCCAAUUUCGACUCUAAUCGAACAUAGUGGUUUCAGGACCACAACUCCAAGACCAAAAAAAAAUAUUUUAAUAUUAUUUUGUCUGUUUAUUUUGUGUGCAUUUGAUUGUGUGAAAUUUUCGUGUUUUAAUUUUGUUGUUUGAGUGUCCGAUUAAAUAAAAGGAUUAAAUCACGUAAAAUAAAAAUUUAAUGGUUAAAUAUGAAAGUGUCUAUUUGUUGUUGUCUUUAUAAUUUGGAGGAUUUAAGAAGCAAUUAGCCCACCAUUAGGUGAGUGGAUGGCAAUGGUCAAGAAUGACCUUAUAAUAUGUGUUAUACAUUAUAUUUUAACAAAGGUUAAUUAAGUAAAUUAAUUAUUAUGGUUAAUAUAUGUUAAAUAUAACAAAUUUAAAACAUGUUCUUCAUCUUUUUCUACCGAAACCAAGAGAGAAAAUAAGGGUUCAAAGCUUUGGAAAAUUCGGCACUUACAAAGCUUGAUUAAGGUAUGAAUAUUGUUCGGUUUUUGAUAAUUUUUAUGUUUUUGAGAUCGUUGCUUCGGGUACUAUUCGACCCAUGCUUGAAUUUUUGAUUUUGAUGAAUAUUUUGAGCUAUGCCAUUUAUGAAUAAUUGUGUUUUGUGAUGUUUGAUAAUGAAUAAUGAAAGAUAUGUUUUAGAUUAAUAUGUUUUGUAUUGGAAUUUUUGGUGAAAUUGAGUAAAUAGGGUGAAAUUGCAAAAAUAAUAUUUUUAGAGACUAAAAUGUGAAAUAAAUGAAAUGAGUGGACUUGUAUGAAGACAAGGAACAUUCGGCCCUAGCUUAGUGUGGGCAAAUUUUGUGUAUUUUGUGUUUUGUGCAAAAAGGACUAAAUUGCAAAAAGUGUAAAAUGUUAGGGGCAAAAUAGUAAUUUUCCCAUUUAUGUAUUUUUGGACUUAAUUGAAUAUUUUGAUGAAUAAAAAGGUUAAAUUUGAUUAUGUUUAGAUCAAUAAACAAAGAGAGCGGAUUUGGAUCGGGGAAAAACGAAAGUAAUCGAAUAGUCGAUCGUGUCCUUUGAUAUCCGAGGUAAGUCUAUUAGCAAUUUGAUGUUAUUAAAUCAGCAUAUAUGUAUGUAUAUCUAUUGUAUUUUGAUGAGUUGAAAUCGAAAGUAUAUAGAUUGAAUUUGGUUAAAGUAUGAAUGAUAUUUAUAUAUAUAUGUAUACAUAAGGUCCGAAUAUAUAUAAGUAUAUACAUGUAUAAACCCUUAGACUUGGUUAAAGGCAUGAAUGUUAUAUAUAUGUAUAUGUGAGUUGGAACAUAUAAGUAUAUACCUGAAUAAGUCUUGAAUAUAUUUAAAGGUAUGAAAGUUAUGUAUGUAUAUGUAAUUUCGAAUAUGUAUAUGUAUAUAUAUAUGCAUAUCUAUUGUUUAUUUGGUGAGCUAUAAUUAAAAGUAUAUGGAUCGAAAUUAGUUAAUGUAUGAAUGUUAUAUAUAUAUGCAUAAAUGAAGUUCGAACAUGUAUAUAUAUGUAUAUGAUCUUAAAUUUAGUUAAAGGUAAGACUGUUAUAUAUAUAUAAGAUUCGAAAAUGUAUAUAUUUAUGUAUAAGAUUUUGAAUUUAAUUAAAGGUAUGGACGAUAUAUUUAUAUAUAUAAGGUUCAAAUAUAUAUAUGUAUAUAUAUAGGUAUAAGUUUUUGAAUAGAAUUAAAAGUAUGAAUUCUAUAUAUAUAUACGUAGGUGUGAGGUUUGAAUAUAUAGUUAUGUGUAUAUAUAUGUAUUUGAAUUGAAUGUAAAGUAUGGACUUUACAUAUGCAUGUGUGUGGUUCGAAUAAAUAUAUAUACAUAUACAAAUACUUGAGUUGGAUUAAAAGUAUAAUUUGUAAAUGCUUAUAUGAUUCAAACAGGGAUUACAAAUUUCUUUUUGAGAUAAAGUUGAGGUUGUGAAUUAUACAUAAAUGUUAUGAACAUGUGUUGCUAUUAAGAAAUAUACGAGGAAAUCAUCUUUGUAUCUGUGAAAUUGAAAUUUUCAGGUUAAGCGCCUAGAAGGCUUAAUGCCGGUGAAUUUUUCAAAUUAUAAGUCUAGCAGGCUAAGUGCCGGUGAUUGAAAUCAGGUUAUAAACCUAGCAGGCUACGUGCCGGUGAUAUGAAUCAGGCUAUAAGCCUAGCAGGCUAAGUGCCGGUGAAUAUGUUAAAUUAUGUGAUUAUAUGCAUUAGAUAGAUUUAUAAAUAUAACUAAUUUUGGGUUAUAUAUAUAAUGAAUAAGUAUAUGAAUAUUUAUUUAUAUGUGUUCGAUGAGCUUAUAAAUGUUUCAACCUAUGAGUUUAGUGAAUAGGCAUAUAUAUAUUGGUUGAUAUGAAAAUUGUUGAAUAUACUUGUACGAAAUCGACACAUGUGGCUUAGAAGUAUAAAUGUGCAUAUGAUUCAUGUAGUUUAUAAGUGGAAAUAUAAGUUUUUGACAUAUGUUUUUGAAAGAUCAUAAACAAGCAUUCAAUGAAAUGCAAAUGAUAAGUAUAUUUGGAAUAUAUAUAUGCAAUUAAUGAUUAUGUAUGUAACUUGAUUUUUAGGUAUAUAAUGAUUAUACAUGUGAUCGUUUAUAUGUAUUUUGGUUAUGCUAUAAACUUACUAAGCUAUAAAAGCUUACUUUGAAUGUUUUUGUUCAUUUGUUUUAUAGAUUUUGGAGACGCGUUACGAGCUCGGGGAUCAUCAGCAUAGUCUAUCACACUAUCGACUUCUUUUGGUAUUUUAUUAACAGUUUGAACUCGAUCUUAUGGCAUGUAUAGGUUUGAGUAUGAUUUUGGUUAGAUUUGGAUUGUAUAUAUAUAUAAAUAGCCAUGCGAAGAUGGUUUAAUUUCCAUGUUUGUGAUCAGUUUGGUUUUUUUAAAAAAAUGGUUGUGUUUGUUCGGUAAUGCCUCGUAACCCUAAUUCGGCGACGGAUACGGGUUUGUCAUCAUUAUUAUCCAUAUUUUCAUUAUUAUCCCUAUUUUCCGCUAGAUCUCUUGAGUUAUUCCUUAUAAAUUGUCUUUUCCCAUUGUUCCCACGCCCCUGUUCCUCUCCUUCUUCUCGCAACCAUACGCUUGUCAUCAU
rnacentral:lncRNA from 1 species